UCGCCGUGAGACAGCGGUCUGGUGAAGUUGCGGGAUAGAUUCCCAUUCAGUAGUUUCCAGCUCGCAGCGGCAGCGGCGCUCUCCGCCAGCCUCACAGCUUCUACCUCCCACAUUUAAUCACACUCGGUCUGUUAAUACCUGACAUGGUGAGCCCUGAGCCCCGGACGUUAUGUUACCUAUGGUGACCAUUACCCGUCGCAGCUACGCGUCGUGUCUCUUAUUUCUUUGCCUUUGGGGAAAUUAGAAGUAGCUUGGAGGAUUUUUUAAAUAUAUAUUCACCGAGUAGAUGCACAUUUUUUUAAUCGGCUGUGCAGUCUUGGAAAACAAUGCACAUCGAUUCAGUUAAGUGGAGUUUAAACGUGGUCACGACACAAAUCCACAGCCAAUUAAGAUAAUAAACAAUAAACUGAUAUUAGUACAUUUCUUCUGUUACUAAAAGCAAUGUGGCAUAUGGUAUUAAUCAGAACCACAAGCCAAACAUAUUUUAGGCUUGAUAUUCGUGAGGAGCAUUUGCACAGCAUUAAUACAGUUUAAAGUUUUGUAAGAGUUGUUUUUAACCCCUGUGUAUGUCGUUGAAGUCACGCUGAAGUUCACAGACCCAGACCAAACAAGAUUUGCACUCUCCGCCGCUUCUCAACUUGGCCCAUUUAAACAGCGGCGGCUCGGCGAGAGCCACAGAAGGGAGGGGGGACUGCGACGGACGACGCUUAAGUGCGUAAAAUGGAGGAACCAUCGUGAGUGAACGUUAUGUUCCCCUGAGCUCGUGAAGCUUGUGAGUCGGACCACAUCUGACCCCCAUCAGUGGAGAACCACCCAGGUGGAUCCACCACCAACACAUGGAAUAGCCAUUCCAGAAGCAGAGGUGGGGUCCAAAACGGUGUGUUUCAGGGGCCUAUAAAUCAGGCCAAACUGCCUCUGACACACACAGGAAGGAGGCACACCACACCGCAGGCGGAAGCGGUACACAGGGAGGCCAGAGACCACAGCAUGGCCAGAACUGCUGUAGUGCCUACAGCCGGCAGGCAAGCAGACAUUUACAAAAACACACGGCA